GAUGUCACACACAGGCAAUGGAACCACACUUCUUCAAACCAGUCCCUUGCAGGCAGUGUUCCAAGAGCAACAAAAGCCUCCUUCAACUGCCCAGCAGAGAAUGCCUGCCUCAUGCAUCAUUUGACUGCUGAUACGUUAACAGCCAAGAGAGGGUCAGUGACAUUGGAUCAAUUGUGACAGUUCUUCUCAUCCAUGCAAGCAGGAAUAAGACGGCAAGACCAUAUUCUUUCUUCGCUUCUCGUUCCUAGACAUACAUUUGAACCAACAGGAAUUAAGCAUCCACAAUUCUUAACCUUCUCGAUCUGUCCCACACAUGUACAAGUCACCUCCAGCAGAGCUAUUAAGUUAUUACAUUGCGUUUUUAUAUGAACAUCAUUCCCUUUUUCAGAGAGAAGAUAAGCUUUCAAUUAACGGCAGAUUUAAGCCAGCUUUAUUGGGAGGGAGGCCAGCCUCAUUUCCCACACAAGGAGGGAGAGAGCUUUCUUCCUUUCCUCUCUGUGCUGUAAAAUAAUGAUGGAAAUGAACAUCUCUGUCCAUUAUGAGAACAACUUUGAUUAGAUCAAGAGGGCUAACCUCCAAUUCUGGCUUGUUAGAAUGGAUUUUCAGCUAUGUAGGAAAGCAAUGUGGGGUCCUGGAUUUGUGGCAUGCCUGGCCAAUUUUAAUGCAGAGAUAUGAGAAUACUAAAAGUAUUCCUGCACUGCUGUGGAAAAGUUAAGCCUAUCAUGCAAGGGCACUGUGCAGAUUUAAUUACAGAUUUUCCCCAGAAAUCCAUAGAAACUGUGAUUAAAUUCCUAAUUGCUUUUGAAGAAGUGAAUAAACAGUCAAUAAGACUAA